rnacentral:rRNA from 1 species
UACAGAGGUCUCAAGCGUUGUUCGGAUUCAUCGGGCGUAAAGGGUGCGUAGGCGGCGCGGUAAGUCGGGUGUGAAAUCUCGGAGCUUAACUCCGAAACUGCAUUCGAUACUGCCGUGCUUGAGGACUGGAGAGGAGACUGGAAUUUACGGUGUAGCGGUGAAAUGCGUAGAUAUCGCUUGGAACGCCAAAGGUGAAAACAGACAGCUGGGAGUGUGCUGACGCUGAGACACGAAAGCCAGGGGAGCGAACGGG